rnacentral:rRNA from 1 species
UAAGUGAUGGCGACCGGCGCACGGGUGCGUAACACGUAUCCAACCUGCCGAUAACUCGGGGAUAGCCUUUCGAAAGAAAGAUUAAUACCCGAUGGUAUAAUAAAGCCGCAUGGUUUAAUUAUUAAAGAAUUUCGGUUAUCGAUGGGGAUGCGUUCCAUUAGGCAGUUGGUGAGGUAACGGCUCACCAAACCUUCGAUGGAUAGGGGUUCUGAGAGGAAGGUCCCCCACAUUGGAACUGAGACACGGUCCAA